AUAUAUAUAUAUAUAUUAGCUAUCUUAAUUCAACGCUUUGUCUUUAUGACCAACAUAUUUCCGAAGAAUACGUUUGUGGUACUUGCAUGUGCUCAAUAUUUCCAAAUGACAAAUAUGCAAAUUGUGUCCGUCUGGUAGGGCGAUUUUUGUUUCGUAGACAAUAAAAAUAUCCACAAGUAUUCAUGAAAUUAAAACAAAAUACACUUCGCACUUUAAUAAUAUACAUAUAUGUAUUGUUUUAAUAAACAUUUUCACUUUUUUUUGGUCUUUUGGAAAAUGUUGUUUGUGCUGUAUUUAGAUCCUUCUACAACGAAAUUUGUUUUACAUGCACACGUAUAAAAAUUGCGGUUUUUAUCCAACGCAAUCAUAGGUUUGAACGUAGAUUUCAAUUUAGACUUGUAUAUAUAUCUAUAUACUUAGCGAUUAAUUUGUAACUAAACUCACAUAGUUUUGUAGUAAUUCAUUUAUGGUGGCAGAAGAGAGUCCUUGUUGCACUUUCUCCUUUGUAUGUAUGUCAUGACGAAAGUUUCUGCAAAACUACCAGACAGUCACUUUCUAUUGACGAAACUAGAAAGCUUCCUUUAACUACUAGUCGUAGAGUUUUUGUAACAAAAUCAUCUGUUUUUGUAUUUACAGAUGACAUGUUUAUUUGGAACUUUCUUAUGCUGAACAGUUAUCAAAUGUACCAGUCUUAUAAUUCAAUACACCAGACGCGCGUUUCGUCUACAUAAGACUCAUCAGUGACGCUCACAUUAAAAUAGUUAUAAAGCCAAACAAGUAGAAAGUUGAAGAGCAUUGAGGACCCAAAGUUCAAAAAAGUUAUGCCAAAUACGGCUAAGGUAAUCUAUGUUUGGGAUAAGAAAAUCCUUAGUAUCUUCUUGAAAUUAUGCCAUGUUCGAUUGUAUCUUGCAAUCACUUCCGGUUUUAAUAUACUUAAAUAUGACCUCUGGAUUUCUUUUGUGUAUUUGUGUCGUUAAACUUUAUGAUCCGUUUAAGUAUACCCCAUAUAUUUUAUAAAUACAUGUAAUAUAAAAUAAUAUUUUGUCUGAGGUAUGAAAGCAAUAAUAGAGAAGAUUCCAAUCACCUUAGGUUGAACAUGUACAUCUAUUUUUUAAAGCUCACUUUUAUCAUCAAUAUAAUAAUUUGUGUUGUUCGUUAUUAAUUUUUAUUCAGAUACAUGUAUAUUUAUUUACGCUUUACGCUAUUUUUACAUUUUUUAUUUUCUUUGUAUAUGUAUAUAUAUAUUUGAUCAUUUCGC
rnacentral:lncRNA from 1 species